AGUAGCUCCAUCAUUCUUAGCUGGAGUCAAGAAAAAGAGCAAAAUUAAGACAGAAACAAAUGAAGAGGGAUCUGCAGACUUGGCUAAUCCAGAUGCUUUUCUUGGUGGUCUGACUACUUCUAACUUUUGCAAUAAUUCCAUGCCCAUAAAUGGUGAUAAUCUGGAAAGCAAGCAACAAAUGUUUUAAGAAAUGAAUUCUGUGUGUGUGAAACAUCCACUGUCUGUGCAGUCCAUUUGUGCUUAUAACAGAGAAACAUCUCUAGGUAGCUUGUUUCUGUUGGCUUAACUCCUCCAGUAAAGAUGGUUGAUGAUUUCCCCAUGCUACCAA
rnacentral:lncRNA from 1 species